CAUAGAAGUUAGCCGGCUGCUUAUUCUCCGGUUACCGUCAUUAUCUUCACCGGUGAAAAGGGCUUUACAACCCUAGGGCCCUCAUCACUCACGCGGCAUGGCUGGAUCAGGCUUGCGCCCAUUGUCCAAUAUUCCCCA
rnacentral:rRNA from 1 species